GUGUUAUUUGAUGAUUUGUUUGCUAAUUUAAAGUAUGAAUGCUAACGUGUGUGUGUGUGUGUGUGUGUGUGUGUGUGUGUGUGUGUGUGUGUGUGUGUGUGCAGUUUACUGAGUGGACUGACUAACCGUGCGGUGUGGAUCGCUCCGAACCUGCAGGACUGUCCCACUGUGGUGAACAAACUCUCCGACCUUGAGCACAUCACAGUCACUAACGACACGGCGCUGGACGUGCUAAACAUAAUCGAGGACAUAAUGAAAGAAAGCAAGUCCCUGGACGAGCAAGACCUGUGGCUGGUGCUGAACACACUGGAGGUCGUGCUGAAUGUCAGCAUCAUGACCUUUGACCUCGCACAGGUCAUCAUCAACAUCACAUCAGACAUCCUGAACUCACAGAGCGACCUUCAUCCCUUCACUAACUAUAUUCUGAACAUCACAGAAAAGGUGGGAAACAGAAUGUCCAAGCUGAAUAACGGAUCUGUCAGCGUGGUGGCCGCAGCGUUAGCUCUGGCUGUGGUCGACGUCAAUACAGAGAAUUUCUACAAUCUGACAUUUGGAGUCACAGCGAUGACCAACGACCUACAUCCAUCGGUGUAUAUUAAUCAGGACCCGUCUGAGG
ensembl:lncRNA